GUGACUUAAUUCUUCAAGUCUCUCAUCAUUUUACUUUGCUUCUUUGGUUGUCCUAGAUGAUGGGGGUAAAGAGAUGAAUUUGGAUGUUGUAUGACUCAAAAUAUUGGUUUUCUUGUUUCUUUCCGGGAAAAGGAAACUAAUAUUUGAAAUUUUGUAUGAACUUGGAGUUGUGUGAAUCAGAAUAUUGCUAUUCCUUAUUUUCUCAGAUUUCUCAGCAGCCGGACAAACCAUACCAGUAGCCUGUUGAGAAACAAGGUAAGCUGAAGGUGAAAUCCUGUAUGCAAGAUUAAUCAUAAUGCUCAUAUGGCUUGAAACUUUCCACAUGCUUUCCUUGGUGCUACCUCAAAAUUUAACUUGGAUUUUGUUUGCUGUAGCCUCUAUUUUUUGGUACUUUGUGAUGUUGUCAUUCAUGGAACUGUUAAGAUGCUAUUAAAUUAGAAUGUGGAUCAUCUUGAAAAAAAUGAUUUUACUUUGGAAAAUCAUCAAGAAUCUUCUGUGGAUAUUCAAAAUAUGUUACUUGUACCAACAAAGGAAGUCCUGCUUCUUAAUUUAAAGACCAAGUAUCUUCACAGGUAAUGACUUGGUUUACAAGUUGACCGGAUCAGAAUACUUGGCAUAGUUCUUGAAGAAAAUGAGAUGAGUUGAUAGGACUGUUAGGUGGAGAGCCCAACCAAAAGAUUCCACAUCCAAGAAAAGACAAACUUUCAGCAACUAUGUAGAGCAGUAAGGUGGGCUGCCAGGAACUUUCUAUGACCUGAAAUUACCUACUUAUACAAGAAACACUGACUUUUAAUUUUUUUUAAUCCCAUACUUCUAAUAGGUUUACCUGCAUAAGUCCUUGAAUUGGUUGUUCAGGCGAUGUGACACUGAACAAAUUCUUCCAUGUGUUCUAGUAUUGAGCUUAGGGGUAUGUUCUGGAACUGAGGCAGACAGUUUUCCCUGCUCUGUGUUGACAAUGAGGUUUCAGGUUUAAUUCUUGUCUGCUCAUAUUGAUUGCUUCUUUUUUCUCUUCAAUUCAUUGAUGGAGAAUCCUGUCAGAACACAGUUAAACCUUGACUAGUUAAAAUUUUUAUUGCAGAUGGACUUUGGGUCAGUCUACUUUGCUCAGAUAUUUAAACUAGAAUAAAGUAGAGAACUGAAAAUAUAUAGUUAAAUGAGCUUGUUAUUAAAAUGGGGCAUUCCGAGAAUCGAACUCGGGACCUCUCGCACCCAAAGCGAGAAUCAUACCACUAGACCAAAUGCCCAGUUGCUGAUGUUUAUGUUGUUCAGUGUUUGAUCAAUGUGGCUGAUUAAAUCUAGGAAUUUAUCACUUCUGAUCUCCUGUAGCUACUGUUAAUUUAAGGUGAACCUCCUUCAUCUGAACAACCAUUUUUUCCUGGUGCCACCCCUGAGAUUUGUAUCUGAUAUUUUGAACCUGAACGGAUUUUAGUAUUAUAUGUUUACCUAAUUGACUCAUAAUGUUAUGAUGGCCUGGAUAUUGAGUUGCUUGGUUCCUGGAUAGCCAGGACUACAAUGAUUAGUGGCAUCCAAGUCUCUUGAGUCUUUGGCCAGUUUGCUUUGCUUCUUGGUUGCCCAGACAGUGGUGGAAAAAGAGAUUAAAUUUGAAACCUUACAUGAAUUGGAGGUUGUAUGACGUAAAAUAUUCCUUUUCUUCCUAAGAGAUCUUUGCAGCCACAGCAUAUUGUUAGCCUCUAAGAACAAGUUGAGAUAGAACAUCAAAUCCUAUUUGUUGUCACGGCAAGAUUAAUCAGCAUGCUUGUGUAUCUUGAUAAUUUCCUCCCGCAUUAGGUGGUGACCUAACCUCAAAAUCUUCAGUAAUUACUGAGGUUUUGUUUGCUUAGUUUCCACGCGGUUGUUAAUUUACUUACUUUACAAUGUUGUUGUGCACUGAAAGGUUAAGAUGCUAUUUUCAAGUAGAUAUAAAUCAGGAUGCAGUUCCAGUAUGAGAAGAGAAAUCAUUUUACACAAGCAGAAUCAUUGGAAACUUUUUUUUUUUUUUUUUUUUGGGUAUUAUGACAAGCAUGUUUUUUGAUCCAAGAAAAAGUCUGUUACUUCUUAAUAUACUGAUGGAGCAUCUCAUUGGUAACUCUUAGGUGUACAAGUUGACUAGAUCAGAAUGCUUGGUAGAGUACUUGGAAAAAUGAGCAGCAGACAAGAAAAUUGGGGGGAGAGCAUAAACACAAGGUUCCAUAUCCCAACAAAGGACUAAUCUAUUGGCAACCAUGUGGAGCUGGGCAGUUGGACUUCCGGAAAAUUCCCAUAACCUGAUCUCACCUACUUAGGUAAGAAUGAAUGGCACACCUGUUUUCCUACUUCACUUUGGUUCUGACAAACUUUUGCUGGUUUUAGUUGAUUGAUUACUUGAGCCUGUUCCUCAAAUGUGUGACUGCUUCCAAUUUUUUUCCAAUAUCAUGGCCAAGUUUGUGUGCUACAGCCAAUACAGCUGGUGCUUGUUUCUUAUUGAUUCAUUGAUAAAGAAUCUUGUCAGUGCAUAAUUAUAUCUGACCUAUGUAAAAGUUUCCUUGCUGUUUUUAAGUUGACUUUAGGUAAGAUAGCUCAAAUAUUUAAAACACAAUGAAACAGAAAACAGAACACAGUGAGGUCACUGAUCCCUGAUUAGUUUCUCUUGCUGGUUUUGAGUUGACUUUCAAUCAUAUUGCUGCAAUAUUUAAAACACAAUGAAAUAGAGUACUGAAUACAGGUCAAUGAUUCCUGAUAAGUACUAUAUUCAAACAUUUAAAACAGAAUGAAAUAGGCAAGUGAGAAAUAAAAAAAUAAAAAUCUGUACAGGCAAAUGACUUCCUGAAAAAAAAAAAUGUGGGGCAUUCCGAGAAUCGAACUCGGGACCUCUCGCACCCAAAGCGAGAAUCAUACCACUAGACCAAAUGCCCACUUGUUGAUGUUUAUGUUGUUUGGUUUCUACUUAAUGUGUUGAUGGAUUCCCUUUCCCCCAUCCUCCAUCAUGAUAGUAUCUCUACCAGGACAGUGCUGAGAUGAAAAUACAAAUUAUCUCAUUUUUUUAACUUGAAACAUCUGUUAAUAUUAUAUUGUCUAUCUCAUCAUUCAAACUUUGUGGUGGCCUUUUCAGAUAUGAAGCUGAGUAGGCUCUGGAUAGCAAAAACCAGAAUAAUAAAAUUGCAAUCUAGCCAAUUAAUGGCACUAAGGACUCUGAGCUCGUGGUCAUUUUCCAUUGCUUCUUGGUUACCCAAACCAUGGAUAAACAAAGAAAUUAAGGUUGAGAUCUUUCAUGAGUUUUGGAGUUUGUAUGCUUCAAAAUAUUUUUUGCCAUCUUUUCUUUUCUUCCUAACAUUCGGCAACAGAGCUUUUUGUUAGCCUGCAGAAAAACAAAAUGAGCUGCAAGGUUGAGUCCUCUUUGUUGCCAUGACACUUAAUCAGAAUGCUCAUAUAGCUUGAUAAUUUCCUCUUGCAUCAGAUGGUGAUCUACCCUCAAAAUCUUGAGCUUCUAUGAUGCUAUUUUCAAGAGCAAUUAAAUCACAAUGUGGAUCAUCUGUAAAGCAAAAUCAUACAUCAGGAAAAUUGUAAAGAACUUCCUUUGUAUGAUUAUAAAUAUGCUUCAUUAACCCAAAGUUUGAUUUUUCUUUCUUCUUAAUUUAUUGGAAUAAUAGGCUGCUUGUAAAUAUGUGAUUUACAAGCUGACUGGGUUAGACUUCUUGGUAGAAUACUUUCAAAAUAGAUAAGCAGCUGAAGGAAAGUUAGGUAGAGAGCUCCUAAACAUGAGAUGCCACAUCCCAAGAAAGGACAGAAUCUUUUGACAACCAUGUGGAGCAGUGAAGCUGGACUUCCAGAAACUUCCUAUGACCCGAAAUCACCUACUUUGGUAAGAAAGGAUGUUCUAGUUAUGCUCUAGUUGUCAAAUUUUUCUGGUUUUAAUUGAUUGAGUACUUGAAUUUUUUUGUUCAAAUGAAUGCCUGCUUCCUUUUUUUCUAGAAUCAUGACUAAGUGUAUGUGCUUAGGUUGAGGCAGGUGAUGCUUGUUCCUUAUUAAUUCAUUGACAAAGGAUAUCAGGGCAUGCUGACUUCUGUUCUCAACAAAAUUUUCCAUUGUAGUUCUUCAGUUGACAUUAGAUCAGAUUAGCUCAAGUAUUUAAAACACAAUGAAAUUGACAACUCUACUGUAUGGGUCAAUGAAUUUUUAUUUUAUUUUUUUUUAGAAAAAGUACAGGUGAAUUAAUUCCACAUAAAAAGUGGGGCAUUCCGAGAAUCGAACUCGGGACCUCUCGCACCCAAAGCGAGAAUCAUACCACUAGACCAAAUGCCCACUUAUUGAUGUAUGUGUUGUUUUGAUUCUGAUCAAAUUUAAGGGAUCAGUCACUAUUGAUCUCCAACUGCUCCUGUUAAUUUUUAAGCGAAACUACCUUCAUCUGAAGGAGCUUACUCUUCUUGGUGCCCCACCACCUGAGAUUUAGUAUUUUGUGAUGCCAAUGUCUUUAGCAGGAUGAUGUAGAACAUGAUAAAAUUACAUCUGGAUCUCAUAUUUUGAACCCAAAACAUCUGUUGGUAUUAUAUUGCCUAUUUCAUAGGCUCAAACCCUGUGGCAUCCUUCAGAGACAAGGAGUUGAUUUGGCCCUGGAUAGCAAGAACCAGAAAAGUAAAAUUGUAUCCUAAGUUCCUAACCAAGUAAUUGCACACUCAAUUCUUUGCCCAUCUCAUCGUUUUAGUUCUUUGGUUGCCCAGAAUAUAGAGGAAAAAAGAAAUUUAUUUUGAAACCCUUUCAUUAAUUUGGAGGUUGUUCUCUUCCAAAAUAUUCCUUUUCCUUUUUUCCUGCUUAAGAUUUCUCUGCAGCCAGCACAUACUGUUUGCCUUUGGGAAACAAAGUGAGCUGGAUGGUUAGUUCUUGUUUGUUCCCAUGGCAAGAUUAACAAAAAAGCUUGCAUAGUUUGACAAUUUCCUCUUUUAUCAGAGGGUGGCAUUCAAUCAAAAUCUACUUUGCUGUAGCUUCUGCAUAACGUUUACUUUCUAAUGCUGUUCAUUGUUAGGAUGCUAUCUUCAAAUAUGAUCAAACUGGGAUGCAGACCAACUUUUAAAAAUCAGGAAAAUCAGAGAGAAUUUUCGUGGGGUCAAAGUGUGUCUCCUUGAUCCAAAGAAAAAGUAUGUUACAAAGUUAAAGUGUGUUCCUUUGACCCAAAAAUGAAGCCUAUUUACCUCCUUCUUACAAGACCGAAUUAGAAUGCUUGGUGCAGUAGUUGAAAGGAGGAGCAGCUGAGAGGAAAGUUAGGUGGAGAGCCCAAAAUCAAAAUGUGACGUCUCAAGAACAGAAUCUUUUGGCAGCUGUAUAAAGCAGUGCAGCUGGACUGUCAGAAACUUCUCACUGCCCAAAAUCAAUUG
rnacentral:lncRNA from 1 species